GUGAGGUGGUUUGCUAAUUAGUGAGACUGUAUUACCCACUUGAAAUCUUAAUCGUGGAGGUUUUCAUUUUUUCACUUGAGGAGUGUGGAAGAUCCGAAAAAAUAGUGGGAGUCUAUUUGCUUUUAAAAUAAAAAUCCUAAAAUAAAUUAAAAAAUCAACUACAAAAUCUAACUAGAAUCUUUUUCUCUUUAUAGGAAUAUGUCUACUUCAAACUCUCUAGCCCAAAUCUUAGAAAACAAUCGAUUGA
rnacentral:lncRNA from 1 species